rnacentral:rRNA from 1 species
AACGCGAAGAACCUUACCUACUCUUGACAUCCAGAGAACUUAGCAGAGAUGCUUUGGUGCCUUCGGGAACUCUGAGACAGGUGCUGCAUGGCUGUCGUCAGCUCGUGUUGUGAAAUGUUGGGUUAAGUCCCGCAACGAGCGCAACCCUUAUCCUUUGUUGCCAGCGGUCCGGCCGGGAACUCAAAGGAGACUGCCAGUGAUAAACUGGAGGAAGGUGGGGAUGACGUCAAGUCAUCAUGGCCCUUACGAGUAGGGCUACACACGUGCUACAAUGGCGCAUACAAAGAGAAGCGACCUCGCGAGAGCAAGCGGACCUCAUAAAGUGCGUCGUAGUCCGGAUUGGAGUCUGCAACUCGACUCCAUGAAGUCGGAAUCGCUAGUAAUCGUGGAUCAGAAUGCCACGGUGAAUACGUUCCCGGGUCUUGUACACACCG